rnacentral:misc_RNA from 1 species
CGAGAACGACGGCGUUGUUGGAGGUGGUCUGAAUCUCUGGUGUGAAAGGAGUGAUCCCACAAGUCCAUGGGGUUUUUCUUAGUGAAAAAGGUAAGUGGAAGGCAAUAAAGAGAACUUGGAGAGAGAGAGAGUGGGGAAUUGAAACUGACAGAAACGAGAAGCAAACAAAAGGAGAAGUUGAAGGUUUUUGAAGGGCAAUCAAUGGCAGAGAGAGAAUAAUGAAUGAAGAAGUCCACGCCUG